UACGUAGGGGGCAAGCGUUGUCCGGAUUUAUUGGGCGUAAAGAGCUCGUAGGUGGUUUGGUAAGUCGGAUGUGAAAUCUCCAGGCUCAACCUGGAGGGGUCAUUCGAUACUGCCAUGACUAGAGGUCGGUAGGGGAGUGUGGAAUUCCUGGUGGAGCGGUGAAAUGCGUUGAUAUCAUCAGGAACACCGGUGGCGAAAGCGGCUUACUGGGUCUCUUCUGACGCUGAGGAACGAAAGCUAGGGUAGCGAACGGG
rnacentral:rRNA from 1 species